rnacentral:rRNA from 1 species
AACGAACGCUGGCGGCAGGCUUAACACAUGCAAGUCGAACGGGCAUAGCAAUAUGUCAGUGGCAGACGGGUGAGUAACACGUGGGAACCUUCCUAGAGGUACGGAACAACGCAGGGAAACUUGUGCUAAUACCGUAUACGCUCGAGAGAGGAAAGAUUUAUCGCCUUUAGACGGGCCCGCGUAGGAUUAGGUAGUUGGUGAGGUAACGGCUCACCAAGCCUACGAUCCUUAGCUGAUCUGAGAGGAUGAUCAGCCACACUGGGACUGAGACACGGCCCAGACUCCUACGGGAGGCAGCAGUGGGGAAUCUUGGACAAUGGGCGCAAGCCUGAUCCAGCCAUGCCGCGUGAGUGAAGAAGGCCUUCGGGUUGUAAAGCUCUUUUACCAGGGACGAUAAUGACGGUACCUGGAGAAUAAGCCCCGGCUAACUUCGUGCCAGCCGCCGCCGUAA